rnacentral:rRNA from 1 species
AGGGGACCUUCGGGCCUUUCGCUAACAGAUGAGCCUGCGUUGGAUUAGCUAGUUGGUGGGGUAAGGGCCCACCAAGGCGACGAUCCAUAGCUGGUCUGAGAGGACGAUCAGCCACACUGGGACUGAGACACGGCCCAGACUCCUACGGGAGGCAGCAGUGGGGAAUAUUGGACAAUGGGCGCAAGCCUGAUCCAGCAAUACCGCGUGUGUGAAGAAGGCCCUAGGGUUGUAAAGCACUUUCAAUUGGGAGGAAAACCCACCGGCCAAUACCCGGUGGCUUGACAUUACCUUUAGAAGAAGCACCGGCUAACUCCGUGCCAGCAGCCGCGGUAAUACGGAGGGUGCGAGCGUUAAUCGGAAUUACUGGGCGUAAAGCGUGCGUAGGCGGCCCGUUAAGUCAGAUGUGAAAGCCCCGGGCUCAACCUGGGAACUGCAUUUGAAACUGGCGAGCUAGAGUUUGGGAGAGGAGAGUGGAAUUUCAGGUGUAGCGGUGAAAUUCGUAGAUAUUGGGAAGAACACCAGUGGCGAA